UACGUAGGGUGCAAGCGUUGUCCGGAAUUAUUGGGCGUAAAGAGCUCGUAGGCGGUUUGUCGCGUCUGCUGUGAAAUCUUGGGGCUUAACCCUGAGCUUGCAGUGGGUACGGGCAGACUAGAGUGCGGUAGGGGAGACUGGAAUUCCUGGUGUAGCGGUGAAAUGCGCAGAUAUCAGGAGGAACACCGGUGGCGAAGGCGGGUCUCUGGGCCGUAACUGACGCUGAGGAGCGAAAGCAUGGGGAGCGAACAGG
rnacentral:rRNA from 1 species